CAGCAGCCGCGGGAAUACGUAGGGUGCGAGCGUUAAUCGGAAUUACUGGGCGUAAAGCGAGCGCAGACGGUUACUUAAGCAGGAUGUGAAAUCCCCGGGCUCAACCUGGGAACUGCGUUCUGAACUGGGUGACUAGGGUGUGUCAGAGGGAGGUAGAAUUCCACGUGUAGCAGUGAAAUGCGUAAAGAUGUGGAGGAGUACCGAUGGCGAAGGCAGCCUCCUGGGAUAACACUGACGUUCAUGCUCGAAAGCGUGGGUAGCAAACAGGAUUAGAUACCCCUGUAGUCCCUGUCUCUUAUAC
rnacentral:rRNA from 1 species